AUGUGUGUAUGUGUGUAUAUAUAUAUAUAUAUAUAUAUAUAUAUAUAUAUAUAUAUAUAUAUAUAUAUAUAUAUGUAUGUAUGUAUGUAUAACAUAUACAUGCAUAUAUAUAUAUAUAUAUAUAUAUAUAUAUAUAUAUAUAUAUAUAUAUAUAUAUAUAUAUAUGCAUGUAUAUGUUAUACAUAUAUAUAUUUAAACCCUAAAAACAUAUACUGUAUAUAUACACUCACUGGCCACUUUAUUAGGUACUCCUUGCUAGUACCGGGUUAGACCCCCUUUUGCCUUCAGAACUACCUUAAUUCUUCGUGGCAUAGAUUCAACAAGGUGUUGGAAACAUUCCUCAGAGAUUUUGGUCCAUAUUGACAUGAUAGCAUCAUGCAGUUGCUGCAGAUUUGUCGGCUGCACAUCCAUGAUGCAAAUUUCCCGUUCCACCACAUCCCAAAGCUGCUUUGUUGGAUUGAGAUCUGGUGACUGUGGAGGCCAUUUGAGUAAAGUGAGCUUUGUGACAUGGUCCAUUAUCCUGCUGGAAGUAGACAUCAGAAGAUGGGUACACUGUAGUCAUAAAGGGAUAGACAUGGUCAGUACCAAUACUCAGGUAGGCUGUGGCAUUUAAACGAUGCUCAAUUGCUACUAAGGGGCCCAAAGUGUGCCAAGAAAAUAUCCCCCACACCAUUACACCACCAGCAGCCUGAACCGUUGAGACAAGGCAGGAUGGAUCCAUGCUUUUAUGAUCUUUAUGCCAAAUUCUUACCCUACCAUCUGAAUGUCGCAGCAGAAAACGAGACUCAUCAGACCAGGCAACGUUUUUCCAAUCUUCUGUUGUCCAAUUUUGGUGACCCUGUGUGAAUUGUAGCUUCCGUUUCCUGUUCUUAGCUGACAGGAGCGGCACUCGGUGUGGUCUUCUGCUGCUGUAGCCCAUCUGCUUCAGGGUUCGAAGUGUUGUGUGUUCAGAGAUGGUAUUCUGCAUACCUUUGUUGUAACAAGUGGUUAUUUGAGUUACUGUUGCCUUUCUAUCAUCUCUAACCAGUCUGCCCAUUCUCCUCUGACCUCUGACAUCAACAAGGCAUUUUCAUCCACACAACUGCCGCUCACUGGAUAUUUUCUCUUUUUCAGACCAUUCUCUGUAAACCCUAGAGAUGGUUGUGCGUGAAAAUCCCAGUAGAUCAGCAGUUUUUGAAAUACUCAGACCAGCCCGUCUUUACAACAUGCUCCCAUAAAAGUAUAAAAAGACAUUAAUAAAAUGUCAUUUAUUCCUACGUUGUAAGCAUGUGAAAUCAGAAUAUUGCUUCUGGGUGACUAAUAAAUAUUCAUAAGGUGAGUUUGUUUUUAAAAGCUUCAUAUAAUGUACAGAACAUUUUUUGUGUCUUCCAUAAAAUCCGUAGUAGCUGUUGUUAUAGCGGUUAUUGUGUUGCGGACUUCCACGGUUGGCAAUAAAUUACUGUUUCAGCAGCGGCUAUUCACAAUUAGCCUUAUCUACAAGACAUGAUUCCUCUUGUUUGGAUUUUAAACAUGAUAAAGUCUAGACAAAUUUUGUUACCUCGAUAAUAUAACAUCAUCGUGUCAGCAGUAUUGAUGGCAAUACAAUUCUAAAAACAAACACAGAACUUAAAUGACAGGAUUUAAUAACAUUUUGCUAAAUUUAGCUGUUGGCAGAGUGUUAGAGAAGAGGAGAGACUUAGGUAUUCUUUCUCUGUCUGCUUUAAUGAGAAAAGAGAGGUCUGAGAAGGGUCAGUGACAGGACUCUCUCUACAGCCCAUUAAACGUGAUUAUAAAAACUGAUGGCAAUUAGAGGGGCGAGAUGGGAGGCCUUCGGCCUGGACCAGAGCAGAGCUCAGCACUUUCACACACAGAUCUGUCCUUGCAGAGGUUUAUAUUAAACUUAUUAGCUAGAGAUGGAAUCUUAAUUUGAAUGUGAUAUUCAUAACUUCUGUCUGUAUCUGGGGUUAUGUUGGCUGCUCUAUUUCAAAAUGUGAAAAGCAAUAAUAAACAAUGAGUUGGUUGUUCAAACUCUGACCGGGAGUAUAAUGGUCAUUAUACACAAAAAAAGUAAAAAAAAAAAAGUAAAAAAAAAAAGGUCAUCAAAAAAGUUUUUGAACUUUAAAACAAACAAAAAAAGUUUGGAAAUCCAACUUACACAAUGUUGAAGUUUUUGGAUUCAGCUCAUUUCUAGUUUAAAAAAAAAAAAAAAAAGAUUAUAUUAAUUUUCUUAUCUUGUUUUAAAUUGUUAUUUUAUUAAUUAACAUUUGAUAUUAUUAAUCAUACAUUAUAAUAAAUUCUAAUUAAUAUUUUUAUUGAAAUCUUAUGAACAUUAAAUAACAUAACACCAGAAAAAACAAACAAACAAACAAACAAACAAACAAACAAACAAACAUAUAAGCCCUUUUCACAUGGUGAAAAAAAACCCACUCUGAAGGUACUUUGAAAAUACCCACCACUGUUUAAAUAUUUUAAUAUUUCAUAAUUUCACAAUUAAGUUUUUAUAUAUUAUUAAUUGCUUGUUUUGUUUUACAUUUUUCAUACUUGUUAGACUUUGCAAUGCUAAACCACAGAAAACUAAACAAUUUAAAAAUCAAUGCAAGCUAAUAAAUAAACAUUUCAAAUACAAUAUGUAUUAAACAAAUACAUUUCAAAUUCAAAUACAAAAAUUAAUUUCAAAAAUUAAACAAUAUAAAAAAGCCAUUUGAUUAUUGUAAUGCUAUGGAAAAAGACUUUUAUACAGUGUUUCUUGACUAUUUGAAAUAAUUUUCAUGGCAGAAAAGUAAAAGGAUGUGUUUGUCACAUUAUUCAGAAUAUUUUGUUCUGAUUCUUAUUAUGUGUAUUUAAUAUCACCUGGACUAUACUGCUGCUUCAGCUACAUGCACAGAGAAGCGUAGAUAAAUAUGUUGCAGGAAAUAUUCUAUGACUAUCUCUUGGGUCCAUCACUGAAGGAGACAUUUUGUAGGCCUUGCCAGUCUAUCUAUAUGUGUCAAUGUCCAGGCCUUAUCAAACGAAUGUCUUGGCUCUGGAUCUGAUGGGCGCAGGCAUGGCAGAUUUAUUCCAUCGCUGGGCUUUCCAUUUGGAGCAGAUCCAUUCUGCUUAUUCAGGUCAUCAGUGCACAUCUGAUUACAUCUGCUGCCUCGGACUGGUGUAUCUGGCCUCGAUGGAUGCACCACAUUACUGUAGACAGACUGAUACAUCACCACCUGUAGAUACAUAAGACAGUCAGCAAGUUUGUCAUGUGUAUGCAAAUAAUAUUUGUAUACAUGACGCAAUAAAACAGGAAAGCUGGUCAAUUUGUAUUUGUAUAUUUCAAGUAAGUGUCAGGUGUUCGGUUAACUGGCUUGGUCUUUGGGCUAUUUCAAGACGGAGAAAUUCUCAGUCAGUCCUUAUUUGCAGAAGUUACCUUGAAAUCUCACCAGGACACAUUGCGGGCUGUCACUAGCACGUCAAAUAUUAUUCAGCUGCCUUUGUAAUCUCACAAACCUUUUCAUCAGCCUCCCAGGCUGACUGCCGAAGUGCUGUCUGUCCCUGACAGAUCACCGGUGCACGAGCUGAAAAAAAGCGCUUUGAGGGAGCUGGUGGGAACCUGUGGCAGGAACCUCAUCAGUUUGUUGUCCUGGAUUGUCUUUUGGCUGUAGACAGGACAUUCAAUAUUCUCUUCAAUAUGUUCCUGGUAGGGCUUAGAAGCUGUGGAUUUGCUUUAAAAUGGAUCCUCUGUUUGCAUGGGAAUUCUCAUGUUCAUUGUACAAAAUAAAGCUUUUUUUGCUCUAAAUGGCAUUUUCAGGCAUUACAAGCACUCGCCUACCACAAAUGAAUUUGCAGUUCAAAAUUAUGUUUCUUUAUAAUACAUCUCAAUUUUGAGAGAUUGUAAAGCAGCAUGCACCUUUCAUAGAUAGGUAAGCUAAAUGAAAAAUGUUGCGUUGCUU
ensembl:lncRNA